rnacentral:tRNA from 1 species
UCUAAGGAAAUCGAAAAAUAUAAAAACAAUUAUUUUCGAUUUUAAAAAAAUCGGUUAAUGUGACCGUCCUCAUUUCUCUUCUUUUAAUGUCUCUGAGUAAGUGUAAGUAGGGGCCGGUAGCUCAGGUGGUUAGAGCGCACCCCUGAUAAGGGUGAGGUCGGAAGUUCGAGUCUUCCUCGGCCCACCAAUAUUACGGGGGAUUAGCUCAGCUGGGAGAGCGCCUGAUUUGCAUUCAGGAGGUCAGCGGUUCGAUCCCGCUAUCCUCCACCAAAAUUUGAGACAUUUAGCUUUUUUAAAUUGUGAAUAUUAUUAUCAAUAUCUAUAUCCGAUUGUUUUCGAAUAUUUUUUUUGAAAACAAUCAAAACAAAAAUUUAAUUUAUUACAGAAAAGUUUUUUUCUGUGCAUAAAU